GACGGGCCCCGCACAAGCAGCGGAGCGUGUGGUUUAAUUCGAUGCUACACGAAGAACCUUACCAGGGUUUGACAUGCAAGUGGUAGGAAACCGAAAGGCGACCGACCCUUCGGGAGCUUGCACAGGUGCUGCAUGGCUGUCGUCAGCUCGUGUCGUGAGAUGUUGGGUUAAGUCCCGCAACGAGCGCAACCCUCGCCUCUAGUUGCCAGCAUUCGGUUGGGCACUCUAGAGGGACUGCCGGCGACAAGUCGGAGGAAGGUGGGAUGACGUCAAAUCAUCAUGCCCCUUAUGACCUGGGCGACACACGUGCUACAAUGGCCGGCACAGCGGGAAGCGAGGGGGCGACCUUGAGCGGAUCCCUCAAAGCCGGUCUCAGUUCGGAUUGCAGUCUGCAACUCGACUGCAUGAAGUUGGAAUCGCUAGUAAUCGUGGAUCAGCCAAGCCGCGGUGAAUACGUUCCCGGGCCUU
rnacentral:rRNA from 1 species